rnacentral:tRNA from 1 species
GCCCAGGUAGCUUAGUUGGUAAAGCUUCAGACGUUUAAUCUGAGGGUCCAGGGUUCAAGUUCCACAUGGUCUAGUGGUUAGGAUUCCUGGUUUUCAUCCAGAAAGCUUGGGUUCGACUCCCUUUGGGCU